GACGAACGCUGGCGGCGUGCUUAACACAUGCAAGUCGAACGAGACGAUUGAAAGCUUGCUUUCGAAAGUCGAGUGGCAAACGGGUGAGUAACGCGUAGACAACCUGCCUUUGAGAUGGGGACAACAGUUCGAAAGGACUGCUAAUACCAAAUGUUGUCUAUUUUCCACAUGGAAGAUAUAUUAAAGAUGGCCUCUAUUUAUAAGCUAUCGCUCAAAGAUGGGUCUGCGUCUGAUUAGCUGGUUGGUGGGGUAACGGCCUACCAAGGCGACGAUCAGUAGCCGGUCUGAGAGGAUGAACGGCCACAUUGGGACGGAGACACGGCCCAGACUCCUACAGGAGGCAGCAGUGGGGAAUCUUCCACAAUGGACGAAAGUCUGAUGGAGCAACGCCGCGUGAGUGAAGAAGGGUUUCGGCUCGUAAAGCUCUGUUGUCGGGGACGAAUGUGCAGUAUUUGAAUAAAGUACUGCAAUGACGGUACCUGACGAGGAAGUCACGGCUAACUACGUGCCAGCAGCCGCCGUAA
rnacentral:rRNA from 1 species